rnacentral:rRNA from 1 species
CCUACGGGAGGCAGCAGUGAGGAAUAUUGGUCAAUGGACGAGAGUCUGAACCAGCCAAGUAGCGUGAAGGAUGACUGCCCUAUGGGUUGUAAACUUCUUUUAUAUGGGAAUAAAAUGUUCCACGUGUGGGAUUUUGUAUGUACCAUAUGAAUAAGGAUCGGCUAACUCCGUGCCAGCAGCCGCGGUAAUACGGAGGAUCCGAGCGUUAUCCGGAUUUAUUGGGUUUAAAGGGAGCGUAGGUGGAUUGUUAAGUCAGUUGUGAAAUUUUGCGACUCAACCGUAAAAUUGCAGUUGAAACUGGCAGUCUUGAGUACAGUAGAGGUGGGCGGAAUUCGUGGUGUAGCGGUGAAAUGCUUAGAUAUCACGAAGAACUCCGAUUGCGAAGGCAGCUCACUGGACUGCAACUGACACUGAGGCUCGAAAGUGUGGGUAUCAAACAGGAUUAGAUACCCGUGUAGUC